rnacentral:rRNA from 1 species
CCCUUAGAUGUUCUGGGCCGCACGCGCGCUACACUGAUGCAUUCAACGAGUUUCUUCCUGGUCCGAGAGGAAUGGGUAACCUUUUGAAAGUGCAUCGUGAUAGGGAUAGACUAUUGCAAUUAUUGGUCUUCAACGAGGAAUUCCUAGUAGACGUAGUUCAUCAGACUGCAUCGAUUACGUCCCUGCCCUUUGUACACACCGCCCGUCGCUCCUACCGAUUAAAUGCUCAGGUGAGCCAUUCGGACUUUCAUCAUGCUGGUUUCCAGUUUUGAUGAAGGAAAGUCUUGCGAACCUUAUCAUUUAGAGGAAGGAGAAGUCGUAACA